UUCCGGUUGAUCCUGCCGGAGGUCACUGCUAUCGGGGUUCGAUUAAGCCAUGCGAGUCGAGAGGGUUCGGCCCUCGGCGGACUGCUCAGUAACACGUGGAUAACCUGCCCUGAGGUGGGGCAUAACCCCGGGAAACUGGGGAUAAUACCCCAUAGGAUACCGUGACUGGAAUGUUUGGUAUCCCAAAGCCCCGGCGCCUCAGGAUGGAUCUGCGGCCGAUUAGGUAGUUGUUGGGGUAACGGCCCAACAAGCCUGUAAUCGGUACGGGUUGUGGGAGCAAGAGCCCGGAGAUGGACUCUGAGACACGAGUCCAGGCCCUACGGGGCGCAGCAGGCGCGAAAACUUUACAAUGCAGGCAACUGUGAUAAGGGAACCCCGAGUGCCCGUAUACGCGGGCUGUUCGGAUGUCCAAAAAGCAUCCGGAGAAAGGGCCGGGCAAGACCGGUGCCAGCCGCCGCGGUAA
rnacentral:rRNA from 1 species